CCUACGGGUGGCAGCAGUGAGGAAUAUUGGUCAAUGGACGCACGUCUGAACCAGCCAUGCCGCGUGCAGGAUGACGGCUCUAUGAGUUGUAAACUGCUUUUGUACGAGGGUAAACCCCGAUACGUAUCUCGGGUUGAAAGUAUCGUACGAAUAAGGAUCGGCUACCUCCGUGCCAGCAGCCGCGGUAAUACGUAGGAUCCGAGCUUUGUCCGGAUUUAUUGGGUUUAAAGGGUGAGUAGGCGGUUUAAUAAGUUAGAGGUGAAAUGUCUGGGCUCAACCCCGCACCUGCCUCUAAUACUGUUGGACUAGAGAAUAGUUGCGGUAAGCGGAAUGUAUGGUGGAGCGGUGAAAUGCUUAGAGAUCAUACAGAACACCGAUUGCGAAGGCAGCUUACCAAACUAUAUCUGACGUUGAGGCACGAAAGCGUGGGUAGCAAACAGGAUUAGAUACCCUUGUAGUC
rnacentral:rRNA from 1 species